AGGAUGAACGCUGGCGGUAUGCUUAACACAUGCAAGUCGAACGGUCUCUUCGGAGAUAGUGGCGGACGGGUGAGUAACGCGUGAGAAUCUAGCUUCAGGUCGGGGACAACCCCUGGAAACGGUGGCUAAUACCGGAUGUGCCGAAAGGUGAAAGGCUUGCUGCCUGAAGAUGAGCUCGCGUCUGAUUAGCUAGUAGGUGUGGUAAGAGCGCACCUAGGCGACGAUCAGUAGCUGGUCUGAGAGGAUGAUCAGCCCCACUGGGACUGAGACACGGCCCCGACUCCUACGGGAGGCAGCAGUGGGGAAUUUUCCGCAAUGGGCGAAAGCCUGACGGAGCAAUACCGCGUGAGGGAGGAAGGCUCUUGGGUUGUAAACCUCUUUUCUCAGGGAAGAAAAAAAUGACGGUACCUGAGGAAUAAGCAUCGGCUAACUCCGUGCCCGCAGCCGCGGUAAUACGGAGGAUGCAAGCGUUAUCCGGAAUGAUUGGGCGUAAAGCGUCCGCAGGUGGCAAUGUAAGUCUGCUGUUAAAGAGUGAGGCUCAACCUCAUAAGAGCAGUGGAAACUACAUAGCUAGAGUGCGUUCGGGGCAGAGGGAAUUCCUGGUGUAGCGGUGAAAUGCGUAGAGAUCAGGAAGAACACCGGUGGCGAAAGCGCUCUGCUAGGCCGCAACUGACACUGAGGGACGAAAGCUAGGGGAGCGAAUGGGAUUAGAUACCCCCGUAGUCCUAGCCGUAAACGAUGGAUACUAGGCGUGGCUUGUAUCGACCCGAGCCGUGCCGGAGCUAACGCGUUAAGUAUCCCGCCUGGGGAGUACGCACGCAAGUGUGAAACUCAAAGGAAUUGACGGGGGCCCGCACAAGCGGUGGAGUAUGUGGUUUAAUUCGAUGCAACGCGAAGAACCUUACCCAGACUUGACAUGUCGCGAACUUUUCUGAAAGGAAGAGGUGCCUUCGGGAGCGCGAACACAGGUGGUGCAUGGCUGUCGUCAGCUCGUGUCGUGAGAUGUUGGGUUAAGUCCCGCAACGCGCAACCCUCGUUUUUAGUUGCCAGCAUUAAGUUGGGCACUCUAGAGAGACUGCCGGUGACAAACCGGAGGAAGGUGGGGAUGACGUCAAGUCAGCAUGCCCCUUACGUCUUGGGCUACACACGUACUACAAUGCUACGGACAAAGGGCAGCGAGCUAGUGAUAGCAAGCAAAUCUCAUAAACCGUGGCUCAGUUCAGAUCGCAGGCUGCAACUCGCCUGCGUGAAGGAGGAAUCGCUAGUAAUUGCAGGUCAGCAUACUGCAGUGAAUUCGUUCCCGGGCCUUGUACACACCGCCCGUCACACCCUGGAAGCUGGCAACGCCCGAAGUCAUUACUCCCACCCUUCGUGGGGGAGGAUGCCGAAGGCAGUGCUGGUGACUGGGGUGAAGUCGUAACAAGGUACCCGUACCGGAAGGU
rnacentral:rRNA from 1 species